GUGGAUUAGAUACCCUAGUAGUCCACGCCGUAAACGGUGCGCACUAGGUGUCGGGGGUAUUCACCCCUCCGGUGCCGCAGCUAACGUACUAAGUGCGCCGCCUGGGAAGUACGGCCGCAAGGCUAAAACUCAAAGGAAUUGACGGGGGCCCGCACAAGCGGUGGAGCAUGUGGUUCAAUUCGAUGCAACGCGAAGAACCUUACCUGGUCUUGACAUCCCGGGAAUCCCCCUGAAAGGGGGGAGUGCCUUCGGGAACCCGGUGACAGGUGCUGCACGGUCGUCGACAGCU
rnacentral:rRNA from 1 species